UGCCAGCAGCCGCGGUAAUACGAAGGUCCCAAGCGUUGUUCGGAAUCACUGGGCGUAAAGCGUGUGUAGGCUGCGCGGAAAGUCAAAUGUGAAGGCCCGGGGCUCAACCUCGGAACUGCAUUCGAUACUCCCGUGCUAGAGGAUAGGCGGAGAGAACGGAAUUCCGUAUGUAGCGGUGGAAUGCGUAGAUAUACGGAAGAACACCUGUGGCGAAAGCGGUUCUCUAGCUUAUUUCUGACGCUGAGGCACGAGAGCGUGGGGAGCAAACAGGAUUAGAUA
rnacentral:rRNA from 1 species